rnacentral:rRNA from 1 species
CGCUGGCGGCGUGCCUAAUACAUGCAAGUCGAGCGAACAGAUAAGGAGCUUGCUCCUUUGAAGUUAGCGGCGGACGGGUGAGUAACACGUGGGUAACCUACCUAUAAGACUGGGAUAACUUCGGGAAACCGGAGCUAAUACCGGAUAACAUUUAGAACCGCAUGGUUCUAAAGUGAAAGAUGGUUUUGCUAUCACUUAUAGAUGGACCCGCGCCGUAUUAGCUAGUUGGUAAGGUAACGGCUUACCAAGGCGACGAUACGUAGCCGACCUGAGAGGGUGAUCGGCCACACUGGAACUGAGACACGGUCCAGACUCCUACGGGAGGCAGCAGUAGGGAAUCUUCCGCAAUGGGCGAAAGCCUGACGGAGCAACGCCGCGUGAGUGAUGAAGGGUUUCGGCUCGUAAAACUCUGUUAUUAGGGAAGAACAAAUGUGUAAGUAACUGUGCACAUCUUGACGGUACCUAAUCAGAAAGCCACGGCUAACUACGUGCCAGCAGCCGCGGUAAUACGUAGGUGGCAAGCGUUAUCCGGAAUUAUUGGGCGUAAAGCGCGCGUAGGCGGUUUCUUAAGUCUGAUGUGAAAGCCCACGGCUCAACCGUGGAGGGUCAUUGGAAACUGGGAAACUUGAGUGCAGAAGAGGAAAGUGGAAUUCCAUGUGUAGCGGUGAAAUGCGCAGAGAUAUGGAGGAACACCAGUGGCGAAGGCGACUUUCUGGUCUGUAACUGACGCUGAUGUGCGAAAGCGUGGGGAUCAAACAGGAUUAGAUACCCUGGUAGUCC